AUUAAUCGGUCGGGCCCUAGAGUGAAGGUCCGUGUGCAAACGCCGACACACCGCUAACGGAGACAAGAAAACGACGCUGGAGCUAACAUCGUCCACGAGAAAAUUAAAGUCACCAACAACCAAGACCCGGUCUACACAGACCCGGUCUACAAAGACCCGGUCUACAAAGACCCGGUCUAGAUUCAAGACUCUACCAGAGGAAUCGUAAAACUGUGGACCAAAAACCACAGGUGACUGAGUGAAUUCAUGUGUUAAUAUAAACAUCAUGUUUAAACAGGUUUUGACUGAACUUUAAAAUCUUUUUUAAUCUGAAUGUUUUUUUAUUCAGAGUUUAAAUAAUUUAAAUGAUGUUUAAUUUAAAUUCAAAAUAAUUGAUCGAAAUAAAAACAUGAAAGUUUGAUUUUUAUUUUUGUUGUUUUUUUUUUCCACAAACUGAAACUUUGUGAAAACUCGGAGAGCGGAUGUGGGUUCAGGGUCAGCGCUCUGAAACUGUAUAGACAUGGUUUAAUGUGUCACUGUGACCUCUGACCUCUGCUGUUGGAUGACCUGAAGCAGGUAAAUAAAUCACCUGCUCUGAUCUGCAACACUCACACUAAAUACACACCCAGACACACACUCAGUCACAGCUGUGUGUGUAAUGGUCCGUGUUAACACGUGUUCCACUUUCUUCAUGAAACCGUC